AUUACCUCAUCUCGUUUUGUACGUCGUUAUUAAAAAAUUGUGAAAUAACAUUUAUUUGUGAUUGAAGAGGCAGGACUUCUCUGAUCAGAAGAGAGGCGUGACUUUUGAGAGAGAGAGAGAGAGAGAGAGAAAUCAAGGCCUUGGAUCUUUGAUCUCCAUCUAUUCUUUGGUUGUAUGAUCUGGAAAUUCUUGUUCUACACUUGAUUUGAGCAUUUAUCUGUAAUAUCGUUUGAAUCUCUCUUAUCUAAGUCGAUCUAGGGCUCAAGGAUAAGCAAGCAGCGUUGGAUCUGGAUCGUUAGCAACAGUGAGUAAAAGCAAGCUCAACGAUGUAGAGAUGUAGAUCUUAUUCUCAGAUCUGCUCUCUAUCCAAUUAGAUCUGCUCUCUCUGUCUCUCCGAUUUGCUAUUAUAGUAAUAUUAAAUCUGCUUUUUCAAUCUCUCCGAUCGAAUUUCACGUAUUCUCUUCAUUACUCUAUGGGAUUUGGACCUCUCUCUCUGUGUUUUUUAUUGAAUCUCAUUAUCUUUGUCACUCUAUCACAUUUUCCUUAUAGAAAAUGUCAAAACAAUUUUUAAAAUUGGUACUGGUGACUAGUUCGUUAGUACUCUCCUAUGUUUAUUGAUGAUGACCGAUUUGUAGUUGAGAUUAUUGAUGAAAAGUCUUUGAUUAAAAAGUAUCAAAGAGAAAUAUCAAGCCUCAAACUAGAACUUGAUCACUGGCUACAUUCAGACUUACAGUUUUUGAAGAGCCAAAUUGAGGGGUUGUGAUACAAGUAGGAAGAAAGCUUUUACAGGUAAGCAGUAGUUUAUUGCAAGAAACUGGGAGCACUAAAAUUGGGACCAUCCUUGGUUGGGGAAUGGCAGCCAUCUACAUGGGCGGGCAGCUUCCACAAAUUUGCUGAAAUACUAUCAAAUCUAACUUGUGGUUGAUUCUUGAUAUGUAGAUUAGAAGGGGCAAUGUUGAGAUGGUAUUGAAGAUAGUAGAUCUUUUGAAG